rnacentral:rRNA from 1 species
UGGGGAAUAUUGCACAAUGGACGGAAGUCUGAUGCAGCAACGCCGCGUGCGGGAUGACGGCCUUCGGGUUGUAAACCGCUUUUUCUCAUGACGAAGUUUUUUGACGGUAGUGGGGGAAGAAGCACCGGCUAACUACGUGCCAGCAGCCGCGGUGAUACGUAGGGUGCGAGCGUUGUCCGGAAUUAUUGGGGGUAAAGAGCUUGUAGGCGGUUUGUCGCGUCGAUAGUGCAAACUCAGUGCUUAACGCUGAGCCUGCUGUUGAUACGGGCAGACUAGAGGAAGGUAGGGGAGAAUGGAAUUCCCGGUGGAGCGGUGGAAUGCGCAGAUAUCGGGAGGAACACCGGUGGCGAAGGCGGUUCUCUGGGCCUUUCCUGACGCUGAGAAGCGAAAGCGUGGGGAGCGAACAGG